rnacentral:rRNA from 1 species
CAAUAGCGUAUAUUAAAGUUGUUGCAGUUAAAAAGCUCGUAGUUGGAUUUCUGGUGGGAGCGAUCGGUCUGGCGCUUAGCGCGAGUACUUGCAUCGUCUCCGGCCAUCCUUGGGGAGAGUCUGUCUGGCAUUAGGUUGUCGGGCAGAGGAUCCUCAUCGUUUACUGUGAAAAAAUUAGAGUGUUCAAAGCAGGCUUAUGCCGUUGAAUAUAUUAGCAUGGAAUAAUAAGAUAGGACUUUGGUACUAUUUUGUUGGUUUGCGCACCAAAGUAAUGAUUAAUAGGGACAGUUGGGGGUAUUCGUAUUCCGUUGUCAGAGGUGAAAUUCUUGGAUUUACGGAAGACGAACUACUGCGAAAGCAUUUACCAAGGAUGUUUUCAUUAA